ACGGUCUGCAGUGGAAGGGAUCGUGUCGUUGUCGGUAUUUUUAGGAGUGUCGGAAGCGACGACCAAGCAGUGUCGGUGUCGUGUUGCUUUAGCCGACGAAGCAAGUAUCAGAGCCGGCGGUAGCUAGUGGCAGAGCCAGCAUCGGAAGGAUCGUCGGUUGCAGCCACAUCUGCAGGAUCCGUGCAACAGGUGCACAAUGCUGACGAUCUUCGAGCGUCGCUGGCGGGGUGGUGCCACACCGAAGACGGCGCCCCCCGCGCGGCACGCCAACUCACUACACCCCGCCCCGCCGCCGCCCCGCGCCAUCACUGAACGCACCGAGCACGCAGUCAGUGACGUCACACCGCCCAGCUGGAGCGACGGUGACGUCACUGGAGACGACUGGACUGUGGAUGACGUCACUGGCUACCUGCGCCACCCGCGGUACUGGAGACGGCCGACCAAAUCCGAAGAGGCGUCAGUGGGAGCGGUAGCUACGUAUUGGACCGCCACCG